ensembl:snoRNA small nucleolar RNA U3
AAGACUAUACUUUCAGGGAUCAUUUCUAUAGUGUCUAACUUGAGAAAUGUGUUUCUAAAGUGUGUGGUCUCGCUAACCACGAUGAUGAGUUGGUGAUACUCCUCCUUGAGCGCGAAGCGGGCCGAGAGACUUGAUUUAAUUCACAUGCUCUUUGCUUUUGAUGACCGUUCACUGUUUCUUCGGAAACAGCGAUGGGAGGAGUAUGAUCAGAGUGGUU